rnacentral:tRNA from 1 species
CCAGGUGGCUCAGAGGUUAAAGCGUCUGCCUGCAAUGCGGGAGACCUGGGUUCAAUUCCUGGGUCUGGA